CAUGUAGCAGGCACGAAGUGGUUAGAUGCAAUCCUAGAGAAAAAAGGUGGAAAAUCGGGUCGCAAAAAUUAUUGAUACGAAGUUGGGAAAACAAGUAAUUGAUCACUUUCCUGCUCUAUAAAAGUUCCGAGCAAAUAGAAUCAUUUUCAUCAUCAAUCUUGUCAUUUCAAUCUUUGCAAAUGUAAAUAAACCUUCUUUCAUUGAUUUCCUUUCAUGUCUUAGGUUCCAAGAUUUCUAUGAACAAGGAGAGCGUAAGACAUUAUUAGCUGAAGUUUCUGAAUUGUGGGAUUAGGUUUCUGUAAAAUCACUUUUUCCUUAAAGUUCUUGCAUCCUGUAUGCUAAAAUUGUAUUUUUGGUAAUAUGCAGCUUUUGAAAGUCCUCAAGUGGAGAUAUGACCAGUCUACAUUCCCUUCAAGGAGAACAUCUCAGCUGGAUUGAGGAAAUCAAUCAAUGGCAAGCAGAAGUACUAAAUGCCCAACUGACGGUUGAGCAGCUUCAACAACGAGAUCAGUUGCUCACGGCCCAAAAUGAGAUGUUGAAGAUGGACAAGGCUAUUCUCAAGAGGAAGGUUGCAGAAUUGGAUGAAAAUUUGGGCUAUUGUC